rnacentral:lncRNA from 1 species
UUUUUUUCCCAGAAAUGCCAAGCUGAUAAACAUCUGAAAUUUUAACACAGCUGUUUGGAGUGAUUUCCUCAUCACUAUAAUCACAUCGAGAAAUCAAAAUUGGAGUGGAAUAUUUGGAACACAUUUUCUCCCCUAUUUAAUAGCCUGUUUGAGUGUCUGUGGUGAGGGAUGCUUCCAAGGUGGAAAGUGAGUUGUCCUUUUUAUUCUUGUCACUAUGGGUUUAGCACUUUAAGAGAGGGUUUUCUGAUAUUUGCCUUGAAUGUUUCUUCAGUCUGACAUUGGCAUCUUUCCAUGUAUAAGCUUAGAAGAAAACGUAUUUUGAAACUUAAAAUAGCUUUACCCACUCAAGGAAAGCAGAUAGUUAAAGCAAUAAUUCAGGUUAUCCAGGCCCAAAUUCACUUUCAUCUCUAUCUCCAAUUUUUUUUAAUGUUUUUGACAUUUUAUUUCAUUUCAGCUACAUUUUUACUGAUGAACUAAUUUCAAGGAUGAAAAAGACAAUAUUUAAACAUGUCAAUAGCUGCUCUGAAAAGCCUACUCUAGCCUAAUAUAGUCUUAGGUUGUUUAUUUUGUAUUCCUCGAUUAUAUCUCUGGGUUCCCUAACACCCUCUCAUCGUUACUACACAAGAUUUCUUGGAUCCUCCUGGUGGUUGAGUGGGUUAAGGAUCUGGCACUCAUUUCCUACCUGUAAAACAGCAAGUAAAACGAGUGCCUGCUUCAUCAGAAUCAGAUGGCACACAGCUUAUGAAAACACUUUUAAACAGAGACAGGCCAUAAAAUGAAAAUGGAUUCAAAGUUCCAUACAAUAGAUUCAAGCUUGUUAAUAGGAGGCUACGGGAGGCGGGGGGUGAUAUACAAUAGCAAAAGAAGUACUUCCGCAAGUGUUCAUUCAUUCAUUAUGCCACAAGAUAGAAGAAAAGGGGUGGGUUCUGAUUAGAUUGACAAGUGAGCUAAGAUUUGCAGGAUGAAUAAUUGUUAACACUCAGAAGAGAUGGAGAAGAACAACUGUGAGAAUCCUGAGCCUCUGAAGAGCUUGGUGCAUUUAAUGGACUCAUGAGAAAGAAGAAGCCAUGACUUCCUGCACUUGCCUGUUUCUCCAGUCUCAGGGCCAGUGGUCUGCCCUCUCCUCGAGAUCUAAGAGGAGUUCUUGAUUUUUCAACCUGUUCAACUUGGUACUUGUCAGGAUGGAAUGGCAAUUUCCAAGCCCUUCACUUGCAGAACCAGAAUCCGGAAGUCUUUGCUUUUACCUCUCUUCCCACCCCCCAUCCUGACUAUUUUCCACUGAUAAUAUUCACUUUGGUUUGUAGGUCCUCACUGUUCCCAGCCUUGUAGUUCUCUCUCUGAUCACAGGGUUUCAUCCACUCUGACUUCCCCGAUGAUGCAGGCACAGCUUAGAGGAACUGCUAAAAAUCCAAGCCUCUCUUCAUGUCAUGGAUUCAACCUCUACUAGCCCGGAGAGCUAGGUUUUAUUUUUUCAAAAAAUAUUUUUUCUAGAAUGCUUUUUGAGUUGAUUACAAUUUCAACCUGAGAGUUCCUUUGUGGCUCAAUGGGUUAAGGAUCUAUCAUUGUCAAUGCUGUGGCUCUGGUUACUGCAGUGGCAUAGGUUCCAUCCCUGGCCCGGGAACCUCCACAUGCCACAGGUGCAGCCAAAAGAAAAGAAAAGAAAUGUCAGUCUCUCUUUUGUAAUGCACCUUUUGUUGGAGGUGAAAUAAAAACCAUCUGCGCUUCAUCCAGAGAGAUGCCAGACGUGUGAAAUGGCAAAAGCAGGCUAAGAAUCUCACUGGUUCAGAUCCAGGCUUGAGUGCCCUUUGACAUGAGUGUUCCUGGGAAAUCCUACUGUGCAGAAAUGGAGAAAUUAAGCAUGCAGUCAGUAAACUGGUCUCAAGCAAUAUGAGGCUACAGGCACUGACAAGUACAAGAGGAGUUAGAAGCCAGAGGUGCCAGAGGUUACCAGGGAGAAUGAGCACCUUGUUAUAAAAGUAACUCCCUGGGUGGAGAUCAUAAGCAAAUUUGGCAUAAGGGUGUUUCCUCCAUAGGGUGCUGUAAAGGUGACAGAGAUAACUAUGUGCCUACUGAUGUGUUAAUGGUAAAGUAAUAGAAAGAUAUUAUCUGUAAGUUUUGCCAAACCAUGAACUCCUUCAAGGGAAGAGGGUGGGUCUAACCCAUUGCACUAUUUCUUGCAUGCAACACAGGGCAGGGCAAGGCACAAAAUCUAGAUGACUCUAGAUAAAUGUUUGUAGAAUUAAAUAAUGAAUCUUUUAUUAUCCUGGGCAGUAAAUUGUCAGGAAAGUUAAUUCAGGCAAGAGUUGGCUGUGCUGCUUUUUUACAUUACAUUGCAAUCAUAUUGUCUUGUGUUGAGUUGUAGUGUGGCAUGUGUGUAAUUAGAUCCAUUUCUCAGAGCCUCAUAACAGUUUUGAAUAGCCACUGUCAUGUAGAAAUCAGAUAUAGUAAUUGUGUGUGUGUGUGUUUAAUAGAGCUAGAGAGAGAGAGCUUUCUUAAUGACAACUAGGAGUGGUCUCUCUGUAAACCAAGCUAAGAAAGGCUAUAACAAGUCUGAUCACAGGAUUUGUACAGGAGGAAGACACAUUUUUCAUCAAGUUCCAGGGCACGUGGGUUAGUGGGUUGUUGGCUAGAAAAGAUAUUAAAGCUGAAAUAAGCCAGGUCCCAUGAAAAGGGUUGCUGGAGCUAAUUCUGGCCUCUUUCCAGGUAGUUUUAUGCUGCAGGUGAAACAUACAUUGGUCUCUAAAAAGAGAAAGCAUGGGUGAAGCCAAAUAAAAAAAACCCAGUAGUUUCCAUUUCAUUUGUACCUGCAGCACAUAAACCCCUACAUAUUCUCAGUGAAAUAACUCAGUGUCCUCCCUGUUGUGAUUACAUUUCUUUUAAUGGCCGUCAAGUGGCAGUGUUUUGUAUCUAAGAGGACAAAGUGUAAAAGAAGUUGAUCUAAAGGUUGUAACUUUGUAAGAAUCCCAGGAGCAUGUACAUUUAAAAAAUUGAGAAAUUGAGAGUUUAAGCCAGGUUCAUCCAAUCUCAAAGGACAGGAAAAUCUUCCACGAUAUAUCUGGGUAACACAUGUAGCCAACAUCUCCCCUGUUUAAGCUAUAGCAUAUUCAGUCCAUUUGUCUGACCCCUAUACACUAAAUAAUAUAAAAUAGUAAAUAUGGUUUGAAUAUUAAUAAUCAGGAUAAUCUCUUUGAUGUGUUUUAAAGCCCUUUUGCUUAUUAUAAAACCAUAUACAGGAUUGUAGUCUUUAUGAUGUGGAAAAUUCUGAAAACAUCUUUAUGGACAAUCUGACAAGGUCCUCAUUCUUCUUUUUUUUUUUUUUUUUCUUUUUAGGGUGACACCUGCAGCAUAUGCAAGUUCCCAGGCUAUGGGAUGAAUCAGAGCUGUAACUGCCAGCCUACACCACAGCCAUGCAGGAUGCAAGCCACAUCUGCGACCUACACCACGGCUCAUGGCAAUGUUGGAUUCUUAACCUACUGAGUGAGGCCAGGGAUCGAACUCACAUCCUCAUGGAUACCAGUUGGGUUCAUGACCAGCUAAGCCACAAUGGGAAU